UGAAUAUAUAUAUAUGAAAUAAAAGAAAAUAAGAAAAUGAGUAAUUUAUAUCAAAUCAAUUACAUAUAUUGCUUUAUAUAGUUCAGAUUGUCAUGUCCAUUAACUUACUGAUCUUACAAUACAAAGCUGAUGGCUGAAAUAAAAUAUAUGACAAAAGAUGUUUUUUUUUUUCUAAAUUCUCUGGCAACUGGCCAGUUAAUUAUUAAGAUAGAUUUGUUGUACACUGGUAAAUUAGUAUACUUAGCACUUUUGUCACCUGUGAUCUUGCCUUCUGUUCAUUCUAUUAUUUAAUUUAUUGCAACUUAGGUAAUCUAGGGUUUUCAAUUUUAUUUUCAAAUAGACAUUGAUAAAAUAUAAAUUGAAUCCGUCAUUCAAUUGUGAUAAUUUUUAACAUGAUUGAAGACGAAGCUGGUUCAAAAUAGCUAAAGGGUAUGGUAUACAUAUGUAUAAAGUGAAUAUGGGGUAUGAGUUGAUGACUCAGUAACCAAACAACUAACAGAAACCUCAAGGUUAGCACUCAGUCUUCCAAAAUAAACAGGUGUCUAUAAAACAUUUUAACCUCUAAAUCAAACCCAUUCUACAAAAUUUGAAAAUAAAUUGAACAGAAACUAUGCAUGAUCUAUCAUCAACAACGAAUUCCCCCAAUGACAAAAAAUAUUAAUAUGACAUAAAACAACUAUAAAUUAGACAUCUUUAUUAUUAUUUUAUUAGUUACAAUCUUUUAAUUAAAAAAAACCUUCAAACCUAAGAAACUGAAUAAACAACAUCAAAAAUUAGAAAUGACCAUUUAAUGAAAAUGUUAAUAUUCUUGCAAUAUAUUGCUUUUUUUGGUCCGAUCCACAACUUUAAAGUUUUUGAACUGUAUCCUGCAAGUAGUUUUUUCAGUUAAUUUUAAAAAGACGUUCACAAUUGUCUGACAUAAAUAGAAUAAUGUAAAUCCUGGUGUAAAUGUUAAAUAUUAUAGUAUGAAUAAUAUACCAGUAAUUUAUUGCAUUCCAGAAAGAAAGCUCAAAGUUACAGAAAUUAAGCACAGAAUGUUAAAAUACUGGAACAAUUGAAAAUCUAUAUGACCAAAAGGGUCCAUAAAAAAUAUAACAGAAUUCACAUAUGAUCAACAUUUUCAGAAGUGGUUCCUUUAGUUUCUUAAUAAUUUCUUAAUUUAUAAACCAAUAAUUUUUCAAAUAACUUAAGCUAUAAAUGUAGAAGUUAGAAUAUAAAAUAAGAAAAGCUGUUAGACAAAUUAACACAUAAGUAGAACAGUUUGUUAAUAAAUGGAUUUCUUUCUGUAAAAAGUCUUGAAAUCAAAAUCCUCCAAAUUCAUGUUUUUUCUUUCUAGCAAGUGAUCAUUUUAAUAACCUAUCUUUCGCCUCUCUGUUAAUAAAGACUUUUGUUGAUAAACAGUUUUACCUGUAAAGUAAAAAGAAUUCAGCACUUUUAGGAGUAAUUUUGAUUUCAUAAAUGAUUAAAUAUUUAAGUAGUUUUUAGUGUAUAUUAAAGUGGAACAUUUUGACCAAUUGCAAGAAAAUAUAUGUGUAAGAUUGGAGAAUUUCAGUUCGAGACACAAAAUACAUACUUUCCAAAACCAAAAGUUGGUAUUAAAAAACAAAGCUUAAUAAUGCGGAAAAGUUAGUAAAUCUAUGAAUAACAUACACACAGGGUAGUAAAUGAGUUUCAAACAUACUUCUUUUUCUUUUUUUUUUUAUUUCUCACAUUCUUGUAUUGAAAAGUUGUUAUGACAAAAAUAAGGUGUGGUAUGAAUGGCAAUGAAACAAUUCUACACAAGAGGCUAAAUGACACAGGAAUUAAAAACUACAGGUCACCAUACUGCCUUCAAAAAUGAGCAAAACCCAAUUGGCUAUUUACAUUGUCAUGGAAACAUGUAGAAUUGCACAAUUCUAUCCUUUUACUUUUCAUUCAUCAAAUCACUUUCAGUUUAUUUCUUUCAUGUUCAUUCCACCCCUUAAGGAUAUAGACCUAGGUUAAGGUAAACACCCUUAAAAUAACCAUUUGCAUCAACAUAUUCUAAGCUUCUUAUUUACAUAGAUUAUUUCCAAUCUGUUUUAGGUAAAUGCUUAAAUUAUAUUGAUGAAACAUGACUUUUACAGAUGCAACUCUGAAUCAAAGAGUUAUCUCCCUGAACCAAGGUCUACUCCCCUUAAAUACACACACAUCACAUUUUUAAGAAACACAGGUUAUCAUCUUAAUUUCAAUGUCAAGUUAUGUUUUACAGAAAAUAUCAUGCAAAUAAAAAAAUACAUUAACAUGUUAUCAAAUUUACAACAAUUAAUAUGUUCUAUAAAUUAGAUAAUUUAAUUAUGAUAUUUUAUUGCAAGAAGUCUAUAAAAUAACACUGUAAAAAUCACAUGUUUAGGUCUUAUUGAGUGAAUAACAGCACAGUAUUCAUGUGUUCUCUAAUUUUCAAAUUUUAUCUAAAAAGACAGAUGUUGAAAUGGAAAUUACUUAACAAAACUAGAAAUAACUAGGUAACUGCAUUAAGCUGUUGACUGAAGAAAAUUGGCAUUUAACAAUUUGUUCAAUAACUUUUGAUAAAAUAAAAAAAUUGCCAUCACCAAUGGUUGGAAAUUUUGGAUAAUACAUGAUAUUAGUUAAGAAUUAAUUCAUGCAAGCUAUACUUUAUCGUAGUUUUAACAUGGGUAGGCAUUAUAUUCGAGAUUAUUUUUGCCCGAGCGAUAGCUUGCAUCAAUUAUUUCGAUUCUAAAUAG
rnacentral:lncRNA from 1 species